UGGGGAAUAUUGGUCAAUGGACGCAAGUCUGAACCAGCCAUGCCGCGUGAAGGAUGAAGGUCCUCUGGAUUGUAAACUUCUUUUAUCUGGGACGAAAACGGGAUUUUUAUCUCAAUUGACGGUACCAGAGGAAUAAGCACCGGCUAACUCCGUGCCAGCAGCCGCGGUAAUACGGAGGGUGCGAGCGUUAUCCGGAUUUACUGGGUUUAAAGGGUGCGUAGGUGGGCUUAUAAGUCAGUGGUGAAAUCUCCGAGCUUAACUUGGAAACUGCCGUUGAUACUAUAGGUCUUGAAUUAUCUGGAGGUAAGCGGAAUAUGUCAUGUAGCGGUGAAAUGCUUAGAUAUGACAUAGAACACCAAUUGCGAAGGCAGCUUACUACAUAUAAAUUGACGCUGAGGCACGAAAGCGUGGGGAUCAAACA
rnacentral:rRNA from 1 species